CGGCUGGGGGCUUUAUUAGGGGGCACCGGGGUCUGCUUUCCGACUCCCUUCCGACUCCGCGCCUGCGCAGGAAGCGAUUUGGGGAGUGUUGUGAAUUCCGAGGGCUCCACACUUAAGAGGUUGUACACUCACCUGUCUACCUGGACUCCAAUUUCCAUAUUUCCAGCCACUUGAGGACUGAGAGGUGGAUGAUAAACCCUGUCAUAGUGGAGCAAGUUCAGGUGUUUAACCGCUGUUAUGGGGGAUCUGCCUUUUCUCCCUCUUCUUUCUUACUUCCAUAAGUAUGUAUGUGCAGAGAUUGAAAAAUAACCUUGAGAGAGUCCAUCCAUCUAACUCCAGUUCAUUGGAAAUUUCUGCUUCUUUGAGACUGAGGUUAUAUUCCACUUCUUCUGACUACACCACCACCAUCAAUCUCCUUCUCUGAACUCUUGGAUCAUUACUUCAACCUGAAACAACUCAUCAGGCAGAAUAGUUGCCUACUGCCCCAACCCCACCAAAUGUUCCAGCACCUCUGAUAUUACCUCACAUGGCAAGAGGGCUUUGAAGAUGUGAUUGAGUCAAGGAUCUUGAAUGGGGAGAUUAUCCUGAAUUAUUCAGCUGGACCCAGUGUAAUCACAAAGGUUUUUCAAAGAUGGAAGAGAGGCAGAAGAGCCAGAAAAGGAUAUGUGACAAUGGAGUCAGUGUCAGAGUUGGAGUGACGUGAUGUGAGAAGGAUUCAACCUGCUGUUUCUGGCUUUGAGGAUGAAAGAAGGGGCCAUGAGCCAAGCAAUACAGGUGGCUUCUUUCAAGAAGUUGGAAAAGGAAACAUUGCAGCGUUAUAAGAGAAAUUAUAGACUAUUUGUUGAAGCUCAGCAUGUCCAUCUCCCUGCUUUGAAGAAGGCAAGCUUCAUUAAAACCAACAUCUUACUUGGCCUAAAACAUCUUUGGAGUAGGAGAUUUAUGGCCUUUCUGGGAAAGUAGUUCUAAUUUUUAUAAACCUUAGAAUUAAGAAGUUCUUUUGUAAAUACAAUUAUAAUUCUUUCUUCUCGA
rnacentral:lncRNA from 1 species